AACUUUACAAACACAGACAUGCAUACACACACACACACACACACACACACACACACACACACACACACACACACACGGCACAGGGGCUGAUUGGUCUAAAACUAGCCAGCUGACUACCUAACAGCCACACUGAAACCUUACAAACACAGACAACAGCACAGUUGGCACUGUGGCUGCACCAUACGGUCAUAAUACUGUCAUAACAUACAUAACAUCUCUCCGUCUAAGAUUGUGGCAUGGUUUUACCCUAUGGUAGAAGUGGAUGCUAUGGACCAGUCUAGUUUUUUCUCAGCUUGUCAAACAGCAUUAUAAAAAACCUUCACAAUGCCAGGGUUUUUGGGGGUUUCAAAUGAUUCUCGAUCUCUUCAUUAUUUUAUUCUACACCGUAGGAACUGAAGUGAAGCCAGCAGUCAAUGAGACAAAUGAAUUGCCAUCUGAUACAGGAUCUGGAACAAACAAUCAGCAGAGUGGCCAAAAUGCAGAAGGUGAUGCCAAAGACCAAGAGACAGACCGGAGAAUCCUGUGGAUUUUGUUGCCUGUUUUGGGUGUGUUGGUGGCAGGUGUGAUCUUUGUCCUCAAGUUCAAAUGCAUGAAAGUGCAUGAUCAUGCAGGUGAGUCAGUGUGUGUUUGUGUGUGUGUGUGUGUGUGUGUGUGUGUGUGUGUGUGUGUGUGUGUGUGUGUGUGUGUGUGUGUGUGUGUGUGUGUGUGUGUGUAUGAAG
rnacentral:lncRNA from 1 species